GAUGAAGAACGCAGCGAAAUGCGAUAAGUAGUGUGAAUUGCAGAAUUCCGUGAAUCAUCGAAUCUUUGAACGCACAUUGCGCCUUCUGGUAUUCCGGAAGGCAUGCCUGUUCGAGAGUCAUUAACAACCGUUUCGAUCCCUUUCUUUCAGAAAUUACAAAGAGGAAAAGGGUUUGGUUAUGGUGGAGGAGGGAAAGGGAGCGUUUAGCCUGUAAAAAAAGAGGCUGUGUUCCGCCUCCCCCCCAAAAUUGUACAGGCGGUCGUGUGCGCCCACGCAUCGAGGUGUUGUAAAAGCUGCCACGGCACUUUUCACCUGUGCAGUGCGAGAUUGGCCAGCCGGUUUAAAAACUCCUCCAAACAAUCAAAGGUUGACCUCGGAUCAGGUAGGGAUACCCGCUGAACUUAAGCAUAUCAAUAAGCGGAGGA
rnacentral:misc_RNA from 1 species